UACGUAGGGUGCGAGCGUUCAUCGGAAUUACUGGGCGUAAAGCGUGCGCAGGCGGUUGUGCAAGACCGAUGUGAAAUCCCCGGGCUUAACCUGGGAAUGGCAUUGGUGACUGUACGGCUAGAGUGUGUCAGAGGGGGGUAGAAUUCCACGUGUAGCAGUGAAAUGCGUAGAGAUGUGGAGGAAUACCGAUGGCGAAGGCAGCCCCCUGGGAUAACACUGACGCUCAUGCACGAAAGCGUGGGGAGCAAACAGG
rnacentral:rRNA from 1 species